GAUGAACGCUAGCGGGAGGCCUAACACAUGCAAGCCGAGCGGUAGAGUCUCUUCGGAGCCUUGAGAGCGGCGCACGGGUGCGGAACACGUGUGCAACCUGCCUUUAUCUGGGGGAUAGCCUUUCGAAAGGAAGAUUAAUACCCCAUAAUAUACUGGAUGGCAUCAUCUGGUAUUGAAAACUCCGGUGGAUAGAGAUGGGCACGCGCAAGAUUAGAUAGUUGGUGAGGUAACGGCUCACCAAGUCAGCGAUCUUUAGGGGGCCUGAGAGGGUGAUCCCCCACACUGGUACUGAGACACGGACCAGACUCCUACGGGAGGCAGCAGUGAGGAAUAGUGGACAAUGGGUGAGAGCCUGAUCCAGCCAUCCCGCGUGAAGGACGACGGCCCUAUGGGUUGUAAACUUCUUUUGUAUAGGGAUAAACCUAGAUACGUGUAUCUAGCUGAAGGUACUAUACGAAUAAGCACCGGCUAACUCCGUG
rnacentral:rRNA from 1 species